rnacentral:rRNA from 1 species
UAGAGUUUGAUCAUGGCUCAGAUUGAACGCUGGCGGCAGGCCUAACACAUGCAAGUCGAGCGGUAGAGAGAAGCUUGCUUCUCUUGAGAGCGGCGGACGGGUGAGUAAUGCCUAGGAAUCUGCCUGGUAGUGGGGGAUAACGUUCGGAAACGGACGCUAAUACCGCAUACGUCCUACGGGAGAAAGCAGGGGACCUUCGGGCCUUGCGCUAUCAGAUGAGCCUAGGUCGGAUUAGCUAGUUGGUGGGGUAAUGGCUCACCAAGGCGACGAUCCGUAACUGGUCUGAGAGGAUGAUCAGUCACACUGGAACUGAGACACGGUCCAGACUCCUACGGGAGGCAGCAGUGGGGAAUAUUGGACAAUGGGCGAAAGCCUGAUCCAGCCAUGCCGCGUGUGUGAAGAAGGUCUUCGGAUUGUAAAGCACUUUAAGUUGGGAGGAAGGGCAGUAAAUUAAUACUUUGCUGUUUGACGUACCGAC